rnacentral:rRNA from 1 species
UACGUAGGGUGCAAGCGUUGUCCGGAUUUAUUGGGCGUAAAGAGCGUGUAGGCGGCCGGACAGGUCCGCUGUGAAAACUCGAGGCUCAACCUCGAGAUGUCGGUGGAAACCGUCUGGCUAGAGUCCGGAAGAGGAGAGUGGAAUUCCUGGUGUAGCGGUGAAAUGCGCAGAUAUCAGGAAGAACACCCGUGGCGAAGGCGGCUCUCUGGGACGGUACUGACGCUGAGACGCGAAAGCGUGGGGAGCGAACAGG